GGUUAAGCGACUAAGCGUACACGGUGGAUGCCCUGGCAGUCAGAGGCGAUGAAGGACGUGCUAAUCUGCGAUAAGCGUCGGUGAGGUGAUAUGAACCGUUAUAACCGGCGAUUUCCGAAUGGGGAAACCCAGUGUGAUUCGUCACACUAUCAUUAACUGAAUCCAUAGGUUAAUGAGGCGAACCGGGGGAACUGAAACAUCUAAGUACCCCGAGGAAAAGAAAUCAACCGAGAUUCCCCCAGUAGCGGCGAGCGAACGGGGAGCAGCCCAGAGCCUGAAUCAGUGUGUGUGUUAGUGGAAGCGUCUGGAAAGGCGCGCGAUACAGGGUGACAGCCCCGUACACAAAAAUGCACAUGCUGUGAGCUCGAUGAGUAGGGCGGGACACGUGGUAUCCUGUCUGAAUAUGGGGGGACCAUCCUCCAAGGCUAAAUACUCCUGACUGACCGAUAGUGAACCAGUACCGUGAGGGAAAGGCGAAAAGAACCCCGGCGAGGGGAGUGAAAAAGAACCUGAAACCGUGUACGUACAAGCAGUGGGAGCCUCUUAAUGGGGUGACUGCGUACCUUUUGUAUAAUGGGUCAGCGACUUAUAUUCUGUAGCAAGGUUAACCGAAUAGGGGAGCCGAAGGGAAACCGAGUCUUAACUGGGCGUUAAGUUGCAGGGUAUAGACCCGAAACCCGGUGAUCUAGCCAUGGGCAGGUUGAAGGUUGGGUAACACUAACUGGAGGACCGAACCGACUAAUGUUGAAAAAUUAGCGGAUGACUUGUGGCUGGGGGUGAAAGGCCAAUCAAACCGGGAGAUAGCUGGUUCUCCCCGAAAGCUAUUUAGGUAGCGCCUCGUGAAUUCAUCUCCGGGGGUAGAGCACUGUUUCGGCAAGGGGGUCAUCCCGACUUACCAACCCGAUGCAAACUGCGAAUACCGGAGAAUGUUAUCACGGGAGACACACGGCGGGUGCUAACGUCCGUCGUGAAGAGGGAAACAACCCAGACCGCCAGCUAAGGUCCCAAAGUCAUGGUUAAGUGGGAAACGAUGUGGGAAGGCCCAGACAGCCAGGAUGUUGGCUUAGAAGCAGCCAUCAUUUAAAGAAAGCGUAAUAGCUCACUGGUCGAGUCGGCCUGCGCGGAAGAUGUAACGGGGCUAAACCAUGCACCGAAGCUGCGGCAGCGACACUAUGUGUUGUUGGGUAGGGGAGCGUUCUGUAAGCCUGCGAAGGUGUGCUGUGAGGCAUGCUGGAGGUAUCAGAAGUGCGAAUGCUGACAUAAGUAACGAUAAAGCGGGUGAAAAGCCCGCUCGCCGGAAGACCAAGGGUUCCUGUCCAACGUUAAUCGGGGCAGGGUGAGUCGACCCCUAAGGCGAGGCCGAAAGGCGUAGUCGAUGGGAAACAGGUUAAUAUUCCUGUACUUGGUGUUACUGCGAAGGGGGGACGGAGAAGGCUAUGUUGGCCGGGCGACGGUUGUCCCGGUUUAAGCGUGUAGGCUGGUUUUCCAGGCAAAUCCGGAAAAUCAAGGCUGAGGCGUGAUGACGAGGCACUACGGUGCUGAAGCGACAAAUGCCCUGCUUCCAGGAAAAGCCUCUAAGCAUCAGGUAACAUCAAAUCGUACCCCAAACCGACACAGGUGGUCAGGUAGAGAAUACCAAGGCGCUUGAGAGAACUCGGGUGAAGGAACUAGGCAAAAUGGUGCCGUAACUUCGGGAGAAGGCACGCUGAUAUGUAGGUGAAGUCCCUCGCGGAUGGAGCUGAAAUCAGUCGAAGAUACCAGCUGGCUGCAACUGUUUAUUAAAAACACAGCACUGUGCAAACACGAAAGUGGACGUAUACGGUGUGACGCCUGCCCGGUGCCGGAAGGUUAAUUGAUGGGGUUAGCGGCAACGCGAAGCUCUUGAUCGAAGCCCCGGUAAACGGCGGCCGUAACUAUAACGGUCCUAAGGUAGCGAAAUUCCUUGUCGGGUAAGUUCCGACCUGCACGAAUGGCGUAAUGAUGGCCAGGCUGUCUCCACCCGAGACUCAGUGAAAUUGAACUCGCUGUGAAGAUGCAGUGUACCCGCGGCAAGACGGAAAGACCCCGUGAACCUUUACUAUAGCUUGACACUGAACAUUGAGCCUUGAUGUGUAGGAUAGGUGGGAGGCUUUGAAGUGUGGACGCCAGUCUGCAUGGAGCCGACCUUGAAAUACCACCCUUUAAUGUUUGAUGUUCUAACGUGGGCCCGUAAUCCGGGUUGCGGACAGUGUCUGGUGGGUAGUUUGACUGGGGCGGUCUCCUCCUAAAGAGUAACGGAGGAGCACGAAGGUUGGCUAAUCCUGGUCGGACAUCAGGAGGUUAGUGCAAUGGCAUAAGCCAGCUUGACUGCGAGCGUGACGGCGCGAGCAGGUGCGAAAGCAGGUCAUAGUGAUCCGGUGGUUCUGAAUGGAAGGGCCAUCGCUCAACGGAUAAAAGGUACUCCGGGGAUAACAGGCUGAUACCGCCCAAGAGUUCAUAUCGACGGCGGUGUUUGGCACCUCGAUGUCGGCUCAUCACAUCCUGGGGCUGAAGUAGGUCCCAAGGGUAUGGCUGUUCGCCAUUUAAAGUGGUACGCGAGCUGGGUUUAGAACGUCGUGAGACAGUUCGGUCCCUAUCUGCCGUGGGCGCUGGAGAACUGAGGGGGGCUGCUCCUAGUACGAGAGGACCGGAGUGGACGCAUCACUGGUGUUCGGGUUGUCAUGCCAAUGGCACUGCCCGGUAGCUAAAUGCGGAAGAGAUAAGUGCUGAAAGCAUCUAAGCACGAAACUUGCCCCGAGAUGAGUUCUCCCUGACCCUUUAAGGGUCCUGAAGGAACGUUGAAGACGACGACGUUGAUAGGCCGGGUGUGUAAGCGCAGCGAUGCGUUGAGCUAACCGGUACUAAUGAACCGUGAGGCUUAACCUU
rnacentral:rRNA from 1 species